UACGUAGGGUGCAAGCGUUAAUCGGAAUUACUGGGCGUAAAGCGUGCGCAGGCGGUUCUAUAAGACAGAUGUGAAAUCCCCGGGCUCAACCUGGGAACUGCAUUUGUGACUGUAGAGCUGGAGUACGGUAGAGGGGGAUGGAAUUCCGCGUGUAGCAGUGAAAUGCGUAGAUAUGCGGAGGAAUACCGAUGGCGAAGGCAGCCCCCUGGGAUAACACUGACGCUCAUGCACGAAAGCGUGGGGAGCAAACAGG
rnacentral:rRNA from 1 species